rnacentral:rRNA from 1 species
AACUCCGUGCCAGCAGCCGCGGUAAUACGGAGGAUCCGAGCGUUAUCCGGAUUUAUUGGGUUUAAAGGGAGCGUAGGUGGAUUGUUAAGUCAGUUGUGAAAGUUUGCGGCUCAACCGUAAAAUUGCAGUUGAAACUGGCAGUCUUGAGUACAGUAGAGGUGGGCGGAAUUCGUGGUGUAGCGGUGAAAUGCUUAGAUAUCACGAAGAACUCCGAUUGCGAAGGCAGCUCACUGGAGUGUAACUGACGCUGAUGCUCGAAAGUGUGGGUAUCAAACAGGAUUAGAUACCCUGGUAGUCCACACAGUAAACGAUGAAUACUCGCUGUUUGCGAUAUACAGUAAGCGGCCAAGCGAAAGCAUUAAGUAUUCCACCUGGGGAGUACGCCGGCAACGGUGAAACUCAAAGGAAUUGACGGGGGCCCGCACAAGCGGAGGAACAUGUGGUUUAAUUCGAUGAUACGCGAGGAACCUUACCCGGGCUUAAAUUGCAACUGACUGAAUCGGAAACGGUUCUUUCUUCGGACAGUUGUGAAGGUGCUGCAUGGUUGUCGUCAGCUCGUGCCGUGAGGUGUCGGCUUAAGUGCCAUAACGAGCGCAACCCUUACGGGUAGUUACCAUCAGGUUAUGCUGGGGACUCUACCCGGACUGCCGUCGUAAGAUGUGAGGAAGGUGGGGAUGACGUCAAAUCAGCACGGCCCUUACGUCCGGGGCUACACACGUGUUACAAUGGGGGGUACAGAAGGCAGCUACACGGCGACGUGAUGCUAAUCCCAAAAACCUCUCUCAGUUCGGAUCGAAGUCUGCAACCCGACUUCGUGAAGCUGGAUUCGCUAGUAAUCGCGCAUCAGCCAUGGCGCGGUGAAUACGUUCCCGGGCCUUGUACACACCGCCCGUCAAGCCAUGGGAGCCGGGGGUACCUGAAGUCCGUAACCGCGAGGAUCGGCCUAGGGUAAAACUGGUGACUGGGGCUAAGUCGUAACAAGGUAGCCGUACCGGAAGGUGCGGCUG